UUCCGGUUGAUCCUGCCAGACCUGACUGCUAUCGGAUUGAUACUAAGCCAUGCGAGUCAUUGUAGUAAUACAAGGCAGACGGCUCAGUAACGCGUAGUCAACCUACCCUAUGGACGAGGAUAAUCUCGGGAAACUGAGAAUAAUACUCGAUAGACCAUUAUGCCUGGAACGGUUUAUGGUUAAAAUGAUUCGUCGCCAUAGGAUGGGACUGCGGCCUAUCAGCUUGUUGGUGAGGUAAUGGCCCACCAAGGCGAUUACAGGUACGGGCUCUGAGAGGAGAAGCCCGGAGAUGGGUACUGAGACAAGGACCCAGGCCCUAUGGGGCGCAGCAGGCGAGAAAACUUUGCAAUGUGCGAAAGCACGACAAGGUUAGUCCGAGUGAUUUCUGCUAAAGAAAUCUUUUGCAAGUUAUAAAACCACUAGUGAAUAAGGGGUGGGCAAGUUCUGGUGUCAGCCGCCGCGGUAAAACCAGCACCUCAAGUGGUCAGGAUGAUUAUUGGGCCUAAAGCAUCCGUAGCCUGCUCUGUUAGUUUUCGGUUAAAUCCAUGUGCUCAACACAUGGGCUGCCGAAAAUACUGCAGGGCUAGGGAGUGGGAGAGGUAGACGGUACUCAGUAGGAAGGGGUAAAAUCCUUUGAUCUAUUGAUGACCACCUGUGGCGAAGGCGGUCUACCAGAACACGUUCGACGGUGAGGGAUGAAAGCUGGGGGAGCAAACCGGAUUAGAUACCCGGGUAGUCCCAGCUGUAAACGAUGCAGACUCGAUGAUGCAUUGGCUUAUUGCCAAUGCAGUGUCGCAGGGAAGCCGUUAAGUCUGCCGCCUGGGAAGUACGUACGCAAGUAUGAAACUUAAAGGAAUUGGCGGGGGAGCACCACAAGGGGUGAAGCCUGCGGUUCAAUUGGAUUCAACGCCGGA
rnacentral:rRNA from 1 species